UUAAAUUGAAGAGUUUGAUCAUGGCUCAGAUUGAACGCUGGCGGCAGGCCUAACACAUGCAAGUCGAACGGUAACAGGAAGAAGCUUGCUUCUUUGCUGACGAGUGGCGGACGGGUGAGUAAUGUCUGGGAAACUGCCUGAUGGAGGGGGAUAACUACUGGAAACGGUAGCUAAUACCGCAUAACGUCGCAAGACCAAAGAGGGGGACCUUCGGGCCUCUUGCCAUCGGAUGUGCCCAGAUGGGAUUAGCUGGUAGGUGGGGUAACGGCUCACCUAGGCGACGAUCCCUAGCUGGUCUGAGAGGAUGACCAGCCACACUGGAACUGAGACACGGUCCAGACUCCUACGGGAGGCAGCAGUGGGGAAUAUUGCACAAUGGGCGCAAGCCUGAUGCAGCCAUGCCGCGUGUAUGAAGAAGGCCUUCGGGUUGUAAAGUACUUUCAGCGGGGAGGAAGGGAGUAAAGUUAAUACCUUUGCUCAUUGACGUUACCCGCAGAAGAAGCACCGGCUAACUCCGUGCCAGCAGCCGCGGUAAUACGGAGGGUGCAAGCGUUAAUCGGAAUUACUGGGCGUAAAGCGCACGCAGGCGGUUUGUUAAGUCAGAUGUGAAAUCCCCGGGCUCAACCUGGGAACUGCAUCUGAUACUGGCAAGCUUGAGUCUCGUAGAGGGGGGUAGAAUUCCAGGUGUAGCGGUGAAAUGCGUAGAGAUCUGGAGGAAUACCGGUGGCGAAGGCGGCCCCCUGGACGAAGACUGACGCUCAGGUGCGAAAGCGUGGGGAGCAAACAGGAUUAGAUACCCUGGUAGUCCACGCCGUAAACGAUGUCGACUUGGAGGUUGUGCCCUUGAGGCGUGGCUUCCGGAGCUAACGCGUUAAGUCGACCGCCUGGGGAGUACGGCCGCAAGGUUAAAACUCAAAUGAAUUGACGGGGGCCCGCACAAGCGGUGGAGCAUGUGGUUUAAUUCGAUGCAACGCGAAGAACCUUACCUGGUCUUGACAUCCACGGAAGUUUUCAGAGAUGAGAAUGUGCCUUCGGGAACCGUGAGACAGGUGCUGCAUGGCUGUCGUCAGCUCGUGUUGUGAAAUGUUGGGUUAAGUCCCGCAACGAGCGCAACCCUUAUCCUUUGUUGCCAGCGGUCCGGCCGGGAACUCAAAGGAGACUGCCAGUGAUAAACUGGAGGAAGGUGGGGAUGACGUCAAGUCAUCAUGGCCCUUACGACCAGGGCUACACACGUGCUACAAUGGCGCAUACAAAGAGAAGCGACCUCGCGAGAGCAAGCGGACCUCAUAAAGUGCGUCGUAGUCCGGAUUGGAGUCUGCAACUCGACUCCAUGAAGUCGGAAUCGCUAGUAAUCGUGGAUCAGAAUGCCACGGUGAAUACGUUCCCGGGCCUUGUACACACCGCCCGUCACACCAUGGGAGUGGGUUGCAAAAGAAGUAGGUAGCUUAACCUUCGGGAGGGCGCUUACCACUUUGUGAUUCAUGACUGGGGUGAAGUCGUAACAAGGUAACCGUAGGGGAACCUGCGGUUGGAUCACCUCCUUACCUUAAAGAAGC
rnacentral:rRNA from 1 species